rnacentral:rRNA from 1 species
GAGUGCGAUCAUACCAGCACUAAUGCACCGGAUCCCAUCAGAACUCCGAAGUUAAACGUGCUUGGGCGAGAGUAGUACUAAGAUGGGUGACCUCUUGGGAAGUCCUCGUGUUGCACCCC